rnacentral:rRNA from 1 species
GACGAACGCUGGCGGCGUGCUUAACACAUGCAAGUCGAACGCUGAAGCACCAGCUUGCUGGUGUGGAUGAGUGGCGAACGGGUGAGUAAUACGUGAGUAACCUGCCCUUGACUCUGGGAUAAGCCCGGGAAACUGGGUCUAAUACUGGAUGCUACAUGUCACCGCAUGGUGGUGUGUGGAAAGGGUUUACUGGUCUUGGAUGGGCUCACGGCCUAUCAGCUUGUUGGUGAGGUAAUGGCUCACCAAGGCGACGACGGGUAGCCGGCCUGAGAGGGUGACCGGCCACACUGGGACUGAGAAACGGCCCAGACUCCCACGGGAGGGAGCCGGGGGGAAUAUUGCCCAAUGGGCGAAAGCCUGAUGCAGCGAAGCCGCGUGAGGGAUGACGGCCUUCGGGUUGUAAAACUCUUUCAGCAGGGAAGAAGCCACAAGUGACGGUACCUGCAGAAGAAGCGCCGGCUAACUACGUG